UGCUGUUUCCUUCCCACCCGGGAAGGCCCGGCUCCAGCCCCUCCAAAGCUCUCCUCCCGCCUCUUUCCCGCAGGUGCUGCAGGAAAAGGGAGAACAAACCAGAACACUCGGAUCCACCGCUUCAACCCUCCAAUGGCUUCCCGUGGUGCCUAGUGAAUUAUGAACGUCUUACCCUGACCUGCAAGACUUGCCCAGCCCUGUCCACCUACCCACCUCAGCUCUUGCCAGGACACCCCUCCCUCCCUUGGCACAUGCCAGCCUUUGCACACGCCUGUGCCUAGGACAUGCUUGCCUUCACACUUGAACUGCCUGAUUUCUCCUAUCUUCUGGGUCUCAGCUGAGACCACACUUCCCCUGGGAGAGGAAUUCCCAUGGCCUUUUGACCAUCUCUGGUCACCGCAUCAAUCCCAUUGCACUGGAAUUGUCUAUUCAGCCAUCUCCCCCACAGGGCUGUGAAGGUAGAGAUCACUGGCCUUGGUCACAGUUGUCACCAGAGUAUACAGUGGGUGUUCGAUAAAUAUUUAUUGGCUAAAUGGAUGGAUGAAAACCUUUCCACCUGUGAACAUGCUGAGGCUCAGCGCUGUCCGGCGUGAGCUCCGGCUUCAUUCCCGUCUUCCCCCAGUGAGGCUUUCGGUAGCUGCGCUGCUGGGCCUGAGCUAGGCUGUGAGAAGGCAGCAGGAGACGCGGCAGCUGGCUUCUGGUCCAGCUUGCGCCUCCUCUCACACAGACCCAGAUCUGUCUCCUGCCAAACCCACCGGCUCCAGUUCUGGACGGGGUCUCCCUGAGUCCUGCUUACUCUCUGAGUAAGCCUUUAAAUAGAUAUUAUUUUAAUGCAUUCUUUUGAAUAGGCAACAUGUGCGUGUGGUACAAAAUUCAGAAGGUACAAAAGGAUGGAAAGUAAGUCUUGCCUAUUCCCGCUCUACCCAACCUCACAGUGAUCUCAGAGGUCAAGGUAGUUACCGCUUUCUUGGGCAGCCUGCCAGAGAUGAGUUAUGCACAAAGAAGCAAACAUAUAUGAACUCUUUUCUCCCCAUUCCCUAUAUGCUGCUCUGCACCUUACCUUCUUAAGUGAACCGGAGACUGGGAAGAUGGCUUCCAAAUGCAAGUACAGGGCCCCCUUCUUUGUCCUGGCUGCAUACUAUUUCACCGUAUGAGACUGUGUCAUCAUUGACUCAACGGAUCUCCUGCUUGUGGACACUUGGGUUGUUUCCAGUCUUUUGCUGUUGCAAAUGUGCCACAGUUAUUAAUCCUGAACUUCAACUAUCUUGCUCAUGGGCCAGCAUAUCUAUAGGAUAACAUUCUAGAAGUAGAAUUUCUGGGUGGAACAGUCUGUGUAUUUGUCAUUUUGGUAAUCCACCGUCAGAAUGGCCUCCGCAGAGGGGGUGCCCAUUUACCCACAGCGUUGCACACGUUGUGUGUUAACAGAUGCUUUGAGUUUUGUCAUCUGGUAGGUGCUAAGUGCUUUUUCCAGUGUGGUUAGUAUCUGCUUUUCUUUCAUUAAAAAAAAAAUCGUGCAUUAAAAAAAAACAUUACAA